rnacentral:rRNA from 1 species
GACGAACGCUUGCGGCGUGCUUAACAUAUGCAAGUCGAACGGAAAGGCCCUGCUUUUGUGGGGUGCUCGAGUGGCGAACGGGUGAGUAACACGUGAGUAACCUGCCCUUGACUUUGGGAUAACUUCAGGAAACUGGGGCUAAUACCGGAUAGGAGCUCCUGCUGCAUGGUGGGGGUUGGAAAGUUUCGGCGGUUGGGGAUGGACUCGCGGCUUAUCAGCUUGUUGGUGGGGUAGUGGCUUACCAAGGCUUUGACGGGUAGCCGGCCUGAGAGGGUGACCGGCCACAUUGGGACUGAGAUACGGCCCAGACUCCUACGGGAGGCAGCAGUGGGGAAUAUUGCACAAUGGGCGGAAGCCUGAUGCAGCAACGCCGCGUGCGGGAUGACGGCCUUCGGGUUGUAAACCGCUUUCGCCUGUGACGAAGCGUGAGUGACGGUAAUGGGUAAAGAAGCACCGGCUAACUACGUGCCAGCAGCCGCGGUGAUACGUAGGGUGCGAGCGUUGUCCGGAUUUAUUGGGCGUAAAGGGCUCGUAGGUGGUUGAUCGCGUCGGAAGUGUAAUCUUGGGGCUUAACCCUGAGCGUGCUUUCGAUACGGGUUGACUUGAGGAAGGUAGGGGAGAAUGGAAUUCCUGGUGGAGCGGUGGAAUGCGCAGAUAUCAGGAGGAACACCAGUGGCGAAGGCGGUUCUCUGGGCCUUUCCUGACGCUGAGGAGCGAAAGCGUGGGGAGCGAACAGGCUUAGAUACCCUGGUAGUCCACGCUGUAAACGGUGGGUACUAGGUGUGGGGUCCAUUCCACGGGUUCCGUGCCGUAGCUAACGCUUUAAGUACCCCGCCUGGGGAGUACGGCCGCAAGGCUAAAACUCAAAGGAAUUGACGGGGCCCCGCACAAGCGGCGGAGCAUGCGGAUUAAUUCGAUGCAACGCGUAGAACCUUACCUGGGUUUGACAUGGAUCGGGAGUGCUCAGAGAUGGGUGUGCCUCUUUUGGGGUCGGUUCACAGGUGGUGCAUGCCUGUCGUCAGCUCGUGUCGUGAGAUGUUGGGUUAAGUCCCGCAACGAGCGCAACCCUUGUUCACUGUUGCCAGCACGUUAUGGUGGGGACUCAGUGGAGACCGCCGGGGUCAACUCGGAGGAAGGUGGGGAUGACGUCAAGUCAUCAUGCCCCUUAUGUCCAGGGCUUCACGCAUGCUACAAUGGCUGGUACAGAGAGUGGCGAGCCUGUGAGGGUGAGCGAAUCUCGGAAAGCCGGUCUCAGUUCGGAUUGGGGUCUGCAACUCGACCUCAUGAAGUCGGAGUCGCUAGUAAUCGCAGAUCAGCAACGCUGCGGUGAAUACGUUCCCGGG